rnacentral:rRNA from 1 species
GAUGAACGCUAGCGGCAGGCCUAAUACAUGCAAGUCGAGGGGUAGGAGAAGCUUGCUUCUCUGAGACCGGCGCACGGGUGCGUAACGCGUAUGCAACCUACCUCUAUCUGGGGGAUAGCCCGGAGAAAUCCGGAUUAAUACCGCAUAAAGCCACAGCAGGACAUCCUGCAAUGGCCAAACAUUCAUGGGAUAGGGAUGGGCAUGCGUGCCAUUAGCUAGUUGGCGGGGUAACGGCCCACCAAGGCGACGAUGGCUAGGGGAUCUGAGAGGAUGGCCCCCCACACUGGUACUGAGACACGGACCAGACUCCUACGGGAGGCAGCAGUAAGGAAUAUUGGUCAAUGGAGGCAACUCUGAACCAGCCAUGCCGCGUGCAGGAAGACGGCCCUCUGGGUUGUAAACUGCUUUUAUCCGGGAAUAAACCUACUUACGUGUAAGUAGCUGAAUGUACCGGAGGAAUAAGGAUCGGCUAACUCCGUGCCAGCAGCCGCGGUAA